rnacentral:lncRNA from 1 species
UUUAAUAAUAAUAAUAAGAAUGAGAGAUAGGGGCAAUGAGUAUGUAGUGAAGAACAAUACCAUAACUUUCUUAUGAUUAGAUUUGACGACCCCAAAUUUAUGCUGGUCGUGGUGAUGGUGACUAUCAAUCGCCAGUCUGUCCAGCUCGGGGAAAUACAGGAACCCUUGAAAGAAAACCUGGAAAACAGAGCAAAACAGAGGCCGCGAUGAACAGGGUCGUUCAAUCGAAUCGAAGAUCAGAGAAGGGUACGGCGGAAACACAAACCUUUUUAAGGAUUAUGAAGCAGAGGAAGUGAGAAGAAGGAAGGCGCCGCCUUCUAGAGAGAAGUCAUAACAAGGGAAACGAGGAGAGCUUUGUGACGCCACAGAGCUAAAUAUGGAAUAGUUAUGAGAUGGUGAGAGGGAAAAUAAGAGCGGAAGAAGAAACCCCAAUAAAUCAGAAGGCGGUCACGGUAAUAUUAAAAUAAUUAAAAAAUGAAUGGAAG